rnacentral:tRNA from 1 species
GUGCCCUUGGCUCAGCUGGAUAGAGCAACGGCCUUCUAAGCCGUAGGUCAUAGGUUCGAAUCCUAUAGGGCACGCCA